AUUGAACGCUGGCGGCAUGCUUUACACAUGCAAGUCGAACGGUAACAGGCCGCAAGGUGCUGACGAGUGGCGAACGGGUGAGUAAUGCAUCGGAACGUGCCCAGUCGUGGGGGAUAACGCAGCGAAAGCUGCGCUAAUACCGCAUACGAUCUAUGGAUGAAAGCGGGGGACCGUAAGGCCUCGCGCGAUUGGAGCGGCCGAUGUCAGAUUAGGUAGUUGGUGGGGUAAAGGCCCACCAAGCCAACGAUCUGUAGCUGGUCUGAGAGGACGACCAGCCACACUGGGACUGAGACACGGCCCAGACUCCUACGGGAGGCAGCAGUGGGGAAUUUUGGACAAUGGGCGCAAGCCUGAUCCAGCAAUGCCGCGUGCAGGAAGAAGGCCUUCGGGUUGUAAACUGCUUCUGUACGGAACGAAAAGGCUCUGGUUAAUACCUGGGGCUCAUGACGGUGCCGUAAGAAUAAGCACCGGCUAACUACGUGCCAGCCGCCGCGGUAAAAC
rnacentral:rRNA from 1 species